UGAGACAUCCGGAUACUGCGGCACGUUGCUUCUAUACUUGUUAUAGUUAUAGCCCCUACUUCCGGUGCUUUUUCUUCCAAUGGAUCGACGGGCCGGACAAGUUUGACCCAAGAAUUCUGCUUUUCUACCCCGGCGUUGAUCAUUGCAAACGUGAGUUGUUUACUCGCUGGGUUCCGCCCCCCCCUAACCCUCCUCCUAUGACGGAGGAAGAGAAGGCCGUCGCCUCUGCACGGCGGCUCGAGGAUCCUCCAAAGUGUCAUUGCGGAGAACAAGCCGUGAUAAAUCCACGGAAUGAACUAGAGUUCGUUUGUCCUCUGCGGCGUGAAGAUCGUGGUUUUCGAAAGUGCCGUUUCGCGGAGUGGAUCUAUGGUCCAAAGAGCCAUUGGCCAGAGCCUGAGAAGCAGGAGGAGGUUCCAGAGUGGAAGAAGAAGCGGAGGUCUAUUGCGCCUCCCGUGAUGUGCAAAUGUGGUGUUGAAGCUAG